rnacentral:rRNA from 1 species
UAACAAGGAUUCCCCUAGUAACGGCGAGUGAAGCGGGAAGAGCUCAAAUUUAAAAUCUGGUUUGCUUUGCAAAUCCGAGUUGUAGUCUGAAGAAACGUUUUCCAUGAAAGCUGAGGCACAAGUCCUUUGGAACAGGGCAUCAUAGAGGGUGAGAAUCCCGUCCAUGGUCUCAAGCCUUUCAUUUUGUGAUACGUUUUCUAAGAGUCAGGUUGUUUGGGAAUGCAGCCUAAAAUGGGUGGUAAAUUUCAUCUAAAGCUAAAUAUUGGCGAGAGACCGAUAGCGAACACGUACCGUGAGGGAAAGAUGAAAAGAACUUUGAAAAGAGAGUUAAAAAGUACGUGAAAUUGUUGAAAGGGAACCGUUUGAAGCCAGUCUUGCUUGCUUGUGAUCAAUCUUUGCUUCGGCUUGGAUGCACUCUCAGGUUAUGCAGGUCAACGUCAGUUUGAGAGGUGGGAAAAAAGCUUGACGAAUGUGGCCUUCGGGUGUUAUANCCUCUUNCUAAANACCAUCUUUUGGACUGAGGCUCGCACCCCAAAUGUGGGCAGGUUUGCGUUUGAGGUGAUACAUUAUUAAGACAGCUUUCUGACUUAGUUUUGUCUAUCUUCACUGUAANCGUCGCCUCUAAAUUNCNUAGGUCGNUGA